GAUGAACGCUGGCGGCGUGCCUAAUACAUGCAAGUCGAGCGAACGGACGAGAAGCUUGCUUUUCUGAUGUUAGCGGCGGACGGGUGAGUAACACGUGGAUAACCUACCUAUAAGACUGGGAUAACUUCGGGAAACCGGAGCUAAUACCGGAUAAUAUUUUGAACCGCAUGGUUCAAAAGUGAAAGACGGCCUUGCUGUCACUUAUAGAUGGAUCCGCGCUGCAUUAGCUAGUUGGUAAGGUAACGGCUUACCAAGGCAGCGAUGCAUAGCCGACCUGAGAGGGUGAUCGGCCACACUGGAACUGAGACACGGUCCAGACUCCUACGGGGGGCAGCAGUAGGGAAUCUUCCGCAAUGGGCGAAAGCCUGACGGAGCAACGCCGCGUGAGUGAUGAAGGUCUUCGGAUCGUAAAACUCUGUUAUUAGGGAAGAACAUAUGUGUAAGUAACUGUGCACAUCUUGACGGUACCUAAUCAGAAAGCCACGGCUAACUACGUG
rnacentral:rRNA from 1 species